GAUGAACGCUGACAGAAUGCUUAACACAUGCAAGUCUUUGGCGAAGCUGUGCUUGCACAGCCUAGCCAAGGCGGACGGGUGAGUAACGCGUAAGGAACUUGCCCUGCAGUCAGGGAUAACAGACGGAAACGACUGAUAAGACCUGGUAAAGUCAGGCGGACUCAUGUCCAGCCUGAUGAAAAGAGAUGCUGCAGGAGAGCCUUGCGUCCUAUUAGCUUGUUGGUGGGGUAACGGCCCACCAAGGCGAUGAUAGGUAGCCGGCCUGAGAGGGUGGACGGCCACAAGGGGACUGAGAUACGGCCCUUACUCCUACGGGAGGCAGCAGUGGGGAAUAUUGGUCAAUGGGGGCAACCCUGAUCCAGCAAUUCUGUGUGCACGAUGAAGGUUUUCGGAUUGUAAAGUGCUUUCAGCAGGGAAGAAAAAAUGACGGUACCUGCAGAAGAAGCGACGGCUAAAUACGUG
rnacentral:rRNA from 1 species